AUGGACAUCGAGAGAAGCAGCAGCGACGCCGCAAGGGACUCAUCGCAGGCCGGCCUGGAGACCGUGGAGAGGCGGCGGCGCCUUCCAGGCCGCCCCAAGAGCUUCGUGCCAGCGGUCUGCGUCCUGGCCGCGACCGUGCUCGCAGUUGUCGUCUUCUCCGCCGACUCGCCCUGGUCCUUCGUGCAAGAUGCACCUCCAUCUGACCUCACCGCCGACCAGCUCCUCGACGGCCUGCUCACCGCAGAAUUCAGCAAGCGGUCGUGUCGGAGCCGGUACGAGUUCGCCAGCUACCACGAGAAGAAGAAGAACACAUCGCAUAAACCAUCCCCCUACUUACUUGGCAAGCUCCGGAGGCACGAAGCCCUACAGAAGCGGUGCGGCCCUGGCACAGCCCCGUAUAGGGCGGCGGUCUGGCAGCUCAAGUCCGGUAAGGGCGCUGCCGCCACGGACUGCCGCUACCUCGUUUCCAUCAGCUACCGCGGCCUCGGCAACCGAAUGCUCGCCACCGCUUCGGCCUUCCUCUACGCCGUGCUCACGGACCGUGUCCUCCUCGUCCACCAGUACAAGCAUGAUGUCAGCGCCCUCUUCUGCGAGCCCUUCCCUGGGACGACGUGGCUGCUACCCUCUGGCUGGAGUUUCCCUUUGGGGCACCUCAGGGACUACGGCAUCGGCUCCAAAGAGAGCCUCGGCAACAUGCUAAAAGCCAACGUCAUCUCCGUGGGUGCCGACGGGAACGCGUCGUGGUCGGACGGCGGUGAUCACCGGCCACCGUUCGUCUACCUGCACCUCGAGGGCGGCUACGACUUCCACGACAAGCUCUUCUACUGCGGCGAGCAUCAGCGGCUCCUCCACGGCGCGCCGUGGUUGCUGAUGAAGACGGAUAGCUACCUCGUCCCGGGGCUCUUCCUCGUCCCGUCAUUCCAGGACGAGUUGGGCAAGAUGUUCCCGGAGAAGGACAUGGCGUUCUACCACCUCGGACGGUACUUGUUCCACCCGGUUAACGACGUCUGGCGCGCAGUCACCAGUUACUACCGCACCAACCUCGCGGGCGUUGGCCAGCGUGUCGGCAUACAGAUCCGGGUGUUCCAGAAGAAGCCGACGCCGCUACAAUACAUACUGGACCAGGUCCUCUCAUGCGUCCGCAGGGAGAAGCUUCUCCCGGAGAUCACAUCGUCGUCCAUGAUCAACGCAUCCGACCAGGUUAUCCUGGUCACUUCUCUGAGCGCGUGGUACUAUGAGAGGAUCAGGGAAGAGUACGGCGGAGGCAGGAUCACCGGCGGCGUGCACCAGCCGAGUCACGAGGGGCGGCAGAAGUGGGGGGACACGUCCCACGACAGGAGGGCGCUGAGCGAGAUGUACCUGCUCAGCACCUGCGACAUGCUCGUCACCACCGGCUUCUCGACGUUCGGGUACGUCGCGCAGGGACUUGGCGGGAUACGACCGUGGAUCAUGCCCAGCACACCCAUCUGGUCCGAGCCCGACAUGGCCGAGACAAAGGAGGUGCCGGAACCACCGUGUGUGCGAGCGAUGUCCGUCGAGCCGUGCUUCCACUCACCGUCCUACUACGACUGCACGGCGAGGAGGGACGUGGAUGUGGGGAAGGUGGUUCCGUACGUGCGGCACUGUGAGGACGUGAGCUGGGGGAUCAAGAUUGCCAACCAAAGCAGCUAG
rnacentral:rRNA from 1 species